rnacentral:ncRNA from 1 species
CAAGGUUUGGUCCUAACCUUGAAAUCAAUUAUUACUUAAUAUACACAUGCAAGUCUCCGCACCCCUGUGAAAACGCCCUUAAAUUCCCAUUAGGAAUAAGGAGCCGGUAUCAGGCACAAUAAAACUGCCCAAGACACCUAGCUAUGCCACACCCACAAGGGAACUCAGCAGUGAUUAACAUUGAACAUAAGCGACAGCUUGACUCAGUUAAAGUAAAAAGAGCCGGCAAAUCUGGUGCCAGCCGCCGCGGUUACACCACGUGGCCCAAAUUGACUUCUAUCGGCGUAAAGCGUGAUUAAAGUAUACCACCAUUGGAGUUAAACUAAAACUAAGCUGUGACACGCUUGUGCUUAAGAAAACCAAAAACGAAAGUUACUCCAAAUCGACCAACUUGAACCCACGACAGCUGAAACACAAACUGGGAUUAGAUACCCCACUAUGCUCAGCCGUAAACUUUAAAUUACACCAAAAUCGCCAGGGAACUACGAGCAAAGCUUAAAACCCAAAGGACUUGACGGUACCCCACAUCCACCUAGAGGAGCCUGUCCUAUAAUCGAUACCCCCCGUUUAACCUCACCACUUUUAGCCAAAUCAGCCUGUAUACCUCCGUCGUCAGCUUACCACGUGAGCGCAACUUAGUGAGCCCAAUGCCCACACGCCAAUACGUCAGGUCAAGGUGCAGCAAAUGAAGUGGGAAGAGAUGGGCUACACUCUCUAAUGUAGAAAAUACAAAAGACUAUUUAUGAAACCUGGUCUGAAGGCGGAUUUAGAAGUAAAAAGAAAACACGAGUAUUCUUUUUAACCCGGCACUGGGGUGUGUACACACCGCCCGUCACCCUCCUCAAAGCCUAACGCAAAGUAAAAAACAACAAACGCAACACAGAAGAGGCAAGUCGUAACAUGGUAAGUAUACCGGAA